rnacentral:rRNA from 1 species
AUUGAACGCUGGCGGCAUGCCUUACACAUGCAAGUCGAACGGUAACGGGCCUUCGGGUGCCGACGAGUGGCGAACGGGUGAGUAAUGUAUCGGAACGUACCUUUCAGUGGGGGAUAACGUAGCGAAAGUUACGCUAAUACCGCAUAUUCUGUGAGCAGGAAAGCAGGGGAUCGCAAGACCUUGCGCUGAUUGAGCGGCCGAUAUCAGAUUAGCUAGUUGGUGAGGUAAAGGCUCACCAAGGCGACGAUCUGUAGCGGGUCUGAGAGGAUGAUCCGCCACACUGGGACUGAGACACGGCCCAGACUCCUACGGGAGGCAGCAGUGGGGAAUUUUGGACAAUGGGGGCAACCCUGAUCCAGCCAUGCCGCGUGAGUGAAGAAGGCCUUCGGUUGUAAGCUCUUUGUCGGGAGAAGUAGCCUGCUUAAUACGCGGGGUAGUUUG